rnacentral:rRNA from 1 species
UACGUAGGGGGCAAGCGUUGUCCGGAUUUAUUGGCGUAAAGGGCGCGUAGGCGGUUUCUUAAGUUUGGAGUGACAGUGGGUGGCUUAACUACCCAAGGCCUCUGAAAACUGGGGAACUUGAGGACCAGAGAGGGACAUAGAAUUCCGGGUGGAGUGGUGAAAUGCGUAGAUAUCCGGAGGAAUACCAAAGGCGAAAGGCAGUGUCCUGGAGGGUGGACUGACGCUGAGGCGCGAAAGCUAGGGGAGCGAACGAGGAAUUGAUGAUAC